ensembl:lncRNA
CUAAAGUGGACCAUACCAUUUCUUACCCUUGACGUUAGAUGAACAUCUUGUCUGCCUGCCUCACUUCCAACAUUGCGGUGGCUUUUUUUUUUUUUUUUAAGGAGAAGCCCCCCCACUACAAUGGGUAAACCGGAACUACCAAGACAUUAAUUCAUUCAAGUUUCAGUUUACUUGUUGUGAUAGAGGGGCUUUAAAAAAUGACACACAAUGGAUGCUUGAGUGACGUAACGCAAAUUCCCGAGCUAAAGUUGGACAGCUAUUGUGCUGCCCAGGAGAGUCAACCCAAACGUCUGUGGUUAAUUCUUUAAGGGACUCCUGAUGGACACAUUCUGAUGAAUGCCGAAUCUGAUGGUGAGAACCUGCUGUGGAGGUGCUGGACUGACGCCACAUUACUCCUCUGUCACAGGGAUGUGUGUUGUGGACUGGGCCAAGACAAACAUUUGACUUAAAGAAGCUGUCCUUAACUUUAACUCUGCAGAAACAAGAUUGGACAGAUUGGAUGGAUG